CACCACUCCUCUCUCUUUGACUAAGCUGUCACCCACGCCCGAGUGCCCCAAAGCCGGCAUGCACUCUCGCUGUUAAUGUUGUACUGGAUCAUAUCUUUCGGGGUAUUAACCUUAGGGGUGAGUCUUAAGGUCCUUCAGAGGCAAAACCAAAUAAUAUGAAUUGAAUGAGAAGGCCAGGAGAUAUAUUAGGGCUCAAUAUUGAUACUGUCCCAUCAACUAUUGCUGACACCAAUAUUUACAUGGGAGACAAGUAGUAAUCAAGAUUGCUGGAACUCUCUGCAUCUGCAUUUUGAUGCAAAGUAAGAAUCGUAUGAUAUUUUCAGUGCCUUGAAGUCACAACGAUAAAUGAUAACAUUUUUUACAGGCAUAUCCCCUUCUCCCCAACGUUGCAGGGAAUAUCUUCCAGGCGCUCACCAUGUUGUAUUUUUUAUUAUUUCUCAAUGCAUAUACAUAUACACAAGUGCAUUUGUAACCUUUUUAUUUGUUUGUUUCCUUUUUUCCCUGAGCUUGCGAUCCUAAGCUUUGUCUACAUAUAAUAACUUAUAUAACCAGUAGGGGGCAAGCCCUCAUAAUUUUACAAAAAAUAUGAAACAAUUUAUUGCACAAAAAAUUUUCACAGUGAGGUAUACAUCUAGCACAAGGAGGUUG
rnacentral:lncRNA from 1 species